rnacentral:rRNA from 1 species
UACGAACCGUACAAACGUUAUUCGGAAUCACUGGGCUUAAAGGGUGCGUAGGCGGCCAUGUAAGUGAGGUGUGAAAUCCCUCGGCUCAACCGAGGAACUGCGCUUCAUACUGCAUGGCUUGAGGGAGACAGGGGUAAGCGGAACUGAUGGUGGAGCGGUGAAAUGCGUUGAUAUCAUCAGGAACACCGGUGGCGAAAGCGGCUUACUGGGUCUCUUCUGACGCUGAGGUUACGAAAGCUAGGGGAGCGAACGG